AGAUUGAACGCUGGCGGCAGGCCUAACACAUGCAAGUCGAGCGGUAGAGAGGUGCUUGCACCUCUUGAGAGCGGCGGACGGGUGAGUAAUGCCUAGGAAUCUGCCUAGUGGUGGGGGAUAACGUUCGGAAACGGACGCUAAUACCGCAUACGUCCUACGGGAGAAAGCGGGGGACCUUCGGGCCUCGCACCAUUAGAUGAGCCUAGGUCGGAUUAGCUAGUUGGUGAGGUAAUGGCUCACCAAGGCGACGAUCCGUAACUGGUCUGAGAGGAUGAUCAGUCACACUGGAACUGAGACACGGUCCAGACUCCUACGGGAGGCAGCAGUGGGGAAUAUUGGACAAUGGGACGAAAGCCUGAUCCAGCCAAUGCCGCGUGUGUGAAGAAGGUCUUCGGAUUGUAAAGCUACUUUAAGUGGAGGAAGGUUAGUAACUUAAUACGUUGCAACUUUGACCGUUACGACAGAAUAAGCACCGGCUAAC
rnacentral:rRNA from 1 species